rnacentral:rRNA from 1 species
CCUACGGGUGGCAGCAGUGGGGGAUAUUGCACAAUGGGGGAAACCCUGAUGCAGCGACGCCGCGUGGGUGAAGAAGUAUUUCGGUAUGUAAAGCCCUAUCAGCAGGGAAGAAAGAAGACGGUACCUGACUAAGAAGCCCCGGCUAACUACGUGCCAGCAGCCGCGGUAAUACGUAGGGGGCGAGCGUUAUCCGGAUUCACUGGGUGUAAAGGGAGCGUAGACGGCCGUGCAAGCCAGGAGUGAAAGCCCGGGGCCCAACCCCGGGACUGCUCUUGGAACUGUGCGGCUGGAGUGCGGGAGGGGCAGGUGGAAUUCCUGGUGUAGCGGUGAAAUGCGUAGAUAUCAGGAGGAACACCGGCGGCGAAGGCGGCCUGCUGGACCGCGACUGACGUUGAGGCUCGAAAGCGUGGGGAGCGAACAGGAUUAGAUACCCCUGUAGUC